AUUGAACGCUGGCGGCAUGCCUUACACAUGCAAGUCGAACGGUAACAGGUUAAGCUGACGAGUGGCGAACGGGUGAGUAAUAUAUCGGAACGUGCCCAGUCGUGGGGGAUAACGUAGCGAAAGCUACGCUAAUACCGCAUACUAUCUACGGAUGAAAGCGGGGGAUCGCAAGAAUCCGCGCGAUUGGAGCGGCCGAUAUCAGAUUAGGUUGUUGGUGAGGUAAAAGCUCACCAAGCCUGCGAUCUGUAGCUGGUCUGAGAAGACGACCAGCCACACUGGAACUGAGACACGGUCCAGACUCCUACGGGAGGCAGCAGUGGGGAAUUUUGGACAAUGGACGCAAGUCUGAUCCAGCAAUGCCGCGUGCAGGACGAAGGCCUUCGGGUUGUAAACUGCUUUUGUACGGAACGAAACGGUGAGCUCUAAUAUAGUUUGCUAAUGACGGUACCGUAAGAAUAAGCACCGGCUAACUACGUGCCAGCCGCCGCAGUAA
rnacentral:rRNA from 1 species